rnacentral:rRNA from 1 species
GACGAACGCUGGCGGCGUGCUUAACACAUGCAAGUCGAACGGAAAGGCCCUUCGGGGUACUCGAGUGGCGAACGGGUGAGUAACACGUGGGUGAUCUGCCCUGCACUUUGGGAUAAGCCUGGGAAACUGGGUCUAAUACCGAAUAGGACCGCAUGCUUCAUGGUGUGUGGUGGAAAGCUUUUGCGGUGUGGGAUGGGCCCGCGGCCUAUCAGCUUGUUGGUGGGGUAAUGGCCUACCAAGGCGACGACGGGUAGCCGGCCUGAGAGGGUGACCGGCCACACUGGGACUGGGAUACGGCCCAGACUCCUACGGGAGGCAGCAGUGGGGAAUAUUGCACAAUGGGCGCAAGCCUGAUGCAGCGACGCCGCGUGAGGGAUGACGGCCUUCGGGUUGUAAACCUCUUUCAGCAGGGACGAAGCGCAAGUGACGGUACCUGCAGAAGAAGGACCGGCCAACUACGUGCCAGCCGCCGCCGUAACAC